GCGGCCGUAGUCCAGUGGUUAAGAUGCGAGCCUUCCAAGCUUGUGACCCGGGUUCGAAUCCCGGCGGCCGCACCA
rnacentral:tRNA from 1 species